CAGGUAAGCCAGAUAGUCGCUUCCGUGUUUUUUCUAAGCGCGGGAGAGGAAAGUCCGGGCACUCCCUUGAUUUUUAAUCAAGGAGCAGGGUAGCGGGUAACGCCCGUCUGCGUGAGCACAGCUCACGGACAGUUAACAAUUUACAAUUGACAAUUAACAGCACGAAUUUUUUUAGAAAAUUAAAUUCUUUUUUGUCAAAAGUUAAAUGUUGAGUGUUAAUUGUUCGCAAGCUGUACUUGCGUAAGAGGUACGAACAGAGACGCCGAGACCCGAAAGGGCCGAGGCGCCAAGCGUACUAACUUGUUAUGCGCUUGGCGAGUCCCAAUGGAAACAUUAGGGGUGAAACGGCCAAAUCCUUACCUGGGCGCAAGAGCAAACCUAAUCAGAGUCUUUUAUUUUAUGAUUCUCGGUUAGUGAAAAGUAGCUCGCUUGAGCCUAAUGGCAACAUUAGGCCUAGACAGAUGACUAUCAUCAGUUGUUUUAAACGACUGACACAGAACCCGGCUUACGGCUUGCUUGCCCC
rnacentral:RNase_P_RNA from 5 species